GACAUGUUUACCAUCUUAAUGAGCCUGGUGCCCUUGCCACUCCUUUUGUCAUUCAGGGUGUGUUUUCUAUCCAUGACACCACUGCUCGAGCCUUGAUUGAUACAAGUUCUACCCACUCUUUUAUUUCUUAUUCUUUUACUUGUAAAUUAUAUGUUAAGCCUAAAUCUUUAAAUGAGAUAUUAACAAUAGGAACUCCCUCUAGAGGUCUUUUAGAAGC
rnacentral:lncRNA from 1 species